GGAGAGAUAUCGAAGUGGUCAUAACGGGGCUGACUCGAAAUCAGUUUGAGAGCAAUCUCACGUGGGUUCGAAUCCCACUCUCUCCGCCA
rnacentral:tRNA from 1 species